rnacentral:rRNA from 1 species
UACGUAGGGGGCUAGCGUUGUCCGGAAUCAUUGGGCGUAAAGCGCGUGUAGGCGGUUCGGUAAGUCCGCUGUGAAAGUCGGGGGCUCAACCCUCGAAUGCCGGUGGAUACUGUCGGGCUAGAGUGCGGAAGAGGCGAGUGGAAUUCCUGGUGUAGCGGUGAAAUGCGCAGAUAUCAGGAAGAACACCCGUGGCGAAAGCGGCUCUCUGGGACGGUACUGACGCUGAGACGCGAAAGCGUGGGGAGCGAACAGG